AUCUCCGAGGAGCGUUGCAACCCUGCCAACAUAUUUGGCGGGCCAGGCUCGGAGGUUCGUGAUAUCCAGCAACGGCGCUCGCUACUA
rnacentral:ncRNA from 2 species